UAUUUAUUUUACAUCUUUAUUGGGGUAUAAUUGCUUUACAAUGGUGUGUUAGUUUCUGCUUUAUAACAAAGUGAAUCAGUUAUACAUAUACAUAUGUUCCCAUAUCUCUUCCCUCUUGCGUCUCCCUCCCUCCCACCCUCCCUAUCCCACCCCUCCAGGCGGUCACAAAGCACGGAGCUGAUCUCCCUGUGCUAGGCAGCUGCUUCCCACUAGCUAUCUACCUUACGUUUGGUAGUGUAUAUAUGUCCAUGCCUUUCUCUCACUUUGUCACAGCUUACCCUUCCCUCUCCCCAUAUCCUCGGGUCCAUUCUCUAGUAGGUCUGUAUCUUUAUUCCUGUCUUACCAGGAUCUAAUGAAACUUCAAAGCUUUUGCACAGCAAAGGAAACCAUAAACAAGACCAAAAUACAACCCUCAGAAUGGGAGAAAAUAUUUGCAAAUGAAGCAACUGACAAAGGAUUAAUCUCCAAAAUUUAUAAGCAGUUCAUGCAGCUCAAUAACUAAAAAACAAACAACCCAAUCCAAAAAUGGGCAGAAGACCUAAAUAGACAUUUCUCCAAAGCAGAUAUACAGACUGCCAACAAACACAUGAAAGAAUGCUCAACAUCAUUAAUCAUUAGAGAAAUGCCAAUACGUUUAGAAAGGGCUUCAGAGGAUGACCCGGCGUAGGUCAACUGGUCCCACUGAUCUUGGCCCAUCUUUCUGCCAUGGCUCAGUCCUGCUCUGCACCCGAGGUGGAUCCCAGCUGGACCUCCUGGCCCAUCAGAAAGCACCUGGAGAGCCUCUGGAUUUCAGAGCACAUCAGACAGGGAUGGCCUAGGGCACUUGGAGAGGCUGGAAGCAAGAGGACUUUCCUCGCUGCAAACAACACCCAGGGUCUGCAUCCUGGCCCAGAUGACAGCCUCACUGACAGGGGCUGCAUGUGGCCAUGGCAAGAGGAAGACAGGAGACAGAAGGAUCCACGUUGGAAGCCGGUCGGCUCUUUCUUCACCCCCAGCAAGCCUGCUUUUCACUCCACUCAGCUGUGCCCUCAGGCCUGGGCCCAGCUGUUUCUCUGUUCAGUUUCCCGGGUGCCCAGGGCAUGACCCAAACCCUAGGGACCCCACAUGGGGAACCCACUCAUGCGAGGAGGUGGCAUAGUGUAGUGGUUAAUUCCGGAAGGACAGUGUGGGUUCAGAUCCCAGCUCUAUCCCUCAGUAGCUGUAUGACCCCAUGUCAGUGCCUGUCUAUGUGCCUCACUUUCUUCCUCUAUAAAAUGGGAAGGAUAAUGGUUCCCACCUUCUGGGGUUGUUCCAGUUAAUGUCAUUAAUGGAUUAAACGAGUUAAGACCGUAAGACACAGGGUCAGGUUUAUCAUAGGCACUCCCUUAUGUUGAUUAUAUCAUAAUUAAUUGUGAUUAAUUACAGGUGGGCCACCAUGGCCUUCUUCAUUGCUCAAUAAGAUGAUGUACUUGCCAGGUGUUGCAAGGGUCCCGGGCAGGUUCUCUGAAUUCUUAUUCCUUCUUUUCUCCUUGGUGAAGGCCCUUUCCUCUCACUGUUGGUUGUUAGAGAUUCAGCCUUAAUUAAUAAAUCUGUAGAAAUGCAGUUAGGAGGGGAGACACCCUG